UUUGUUAUGACAGUAAAAGACCUUCAUGAAUCAGCUCAGCAUGCAGCAUUCCACGAGUCAGUUGGCAGGAUUCACAAGAUGAGGAAAGAGAGGUCAUCAUAUGCAUGUGUGUGGAGAGAGAAAUCUUGAGACAGUGCUUCCUGAUGAGCAACAUCAAAAAAAGGAAGAAAGAACCAUUCCAGGUAGUAUUUUUGUAUGUUUACAUGUUAAAGGAAUACUCAUUCAUUGAAAUGAUCUUUUUUUUUUUUAAUUUUUCAGCCAUGCCACAUAACUCAUUUGUGGCCAGUAGUUGAUGCCAUGCGCACACACACACACACACACACACACACACACACAGAAUCUGGAAUACAAUGU